AACGAACGCUGGCGGCAUGCCUAACACAUGCAAGUCGAACGAAACCUUCGGGUCUAGUGGCGCACGGGUGCGUAACUCGUGUUAACCUGCCCUUAGGUUCGGAAUAACUCCCCGAAAGGGGUUCUAAUACCGGUUAAUGUCUUCAGACCAAAGAUUUAUCGCCUUUGGAUCGGCCCGCGUUGUAUUAGCUAGUUGGUAGGGUAAAAGCCUACCAAGGCGACGAUCCAUAGCUGGUCUUAGAGGAUGAUCAGCCACACGGGGACUGAGACACGGCCCAGACUCAUACGGGAGGCAGAAGUGGGGAAUAUUGGACAAUGGGAGAAAGCGUGAGCCAGCAAGGCGGGGUGAGUGAUGAAGGCCUUAGGGUUGUAAAGCUCUUUUACCCGGGAUGAUAAUGACAGUAGCGGGAGAAUAAGCACCGGCUAACCCCGUG
rnacentral:rRNA from 1 species